rnacentral:rRNA from 1 species
AGAGAUGUGUGAUGACGCAUAUCAAUAAGCGGAGGAAAAGAAACUAACAAGGAUUCCCCUAGUAACGGCGAGUGAAGCGGGAAGAGCUCAAAUUUGAAAUCUUAAAGGGUUUCCCUUUACGAAUUGUAGUUUAAAGAAGUGUUUUCUGUUGGAGUUUCGGUAAAAGUUCUUUGGAAUAGGACAUCAUAGAGGGUGAGAAUCCCGUAUUUGACCGUUACUUUCCAGCUGUGUGAUACACUUUCAAAGAGUCGGAUUGUUUGGGAAUGCAGUCCAAGAUGGGUGGUAAAUUUCAUCUAAAGCUAAAUAUUGGCGAGAGACCGAUAGCGAACAAGUACCGUGAGGGAAAGAUGAAAAGAACUUUGAAAAGAGAGUUAAACAGUACGUGAAAUUGUCAAAAGGGAAGCGUUUGACACCAGUGUUGUUUAGUUGAAAAUCAAUUCAAUAGUUUUUGAUUCUAAGUAGUAUUGACUUCAUCAGCUUGCUGCUUUCUUCUCAGAAAUUAUUGAAUGCACUUUUCAGUUAACAAGUCAACAUCAAUUUCUUUUGUUGUAAAAGGGUAAGAGGAAGGUGGCUUGCGCUUCGGCUCAAGUGUUUAUAGCCUUUUAUCUCUGCAAUCGGAGAGAUUGAGGUCUGCAGCGUAGAUCCUUCGGGGUUAGAUACAUUUGGUGCUAAGUUAUAGCUUGUCAUAGACAACUUGUUGACUAUGUUAGUCAUUGUAGCUUACUCGCUGACGCUAUUUUACCUACGCUUAGGAUGUUGACAGCAGUAUAGACUGU